CCAUUUUGUAUUUGUAUGGCGGCAAACGGCAUCACGGCAUGGCAACUUUGGGAAAGAAACAUCGCCAUUGAUAAAUUGGAUUCAGCAUAUUGAAACAUCAUAAUGAACUACAAUUUAAAUUUGUUACUUAGUUAGUGCUUGGAAAAUCUGCAGGAAAGUUAUUGGGAUAUACUCAACAAGCAAUAAUGUUGCUGCAGACCCGGACAAAAAUGCUUGUGCUCCCUAUGCUAUUUCAAUACGUGAAAACAAGAUUUGGUUAAGUAUUCUGAAGUGUUCAUGUGUGGAAAGGAUUGAGUGCUGCGAACAAUCCCAAUGCUCUAUGGUGAAUGGAUGAUUAGAUUUUGUUGCUCUGGUCUUUACCUGAGUGUGUUUAAUUGACUUCAUAUAUUUACAGCUGAUGCAGUGUUUCCUGUAUAUACUAUGUAAAC